rnacentral:rRNA from 1 species
UACGUAGGGUGCGAGCGUUAAUCGGAAUUACUGGGCGUAAAGCGUGCGCAGGCGGUUUUGUAAGACAGAUGGGAAAUCCCCGGGCUUAACCUGGGAACUGCAUUUGUGACUGCAAGACUAGAGUGCGGCAGAGGGGGGUAGAAUUCCACGUGUAGCAGUGAAAUGCGUAGAUAUGUGGAGGAAUACCGAUGGCGAAGGCAGCCCCCUGGGUCGACACUGACGCUCAUGCACGAAAGCGUGGGGAGCAAACAGG